rnacentral:rRNA from 1 species
GAUGAACGCUGGCGGCGUGCCUAAUACAUGCAAGUCGAGCGAACAGAUGAGGAGCUUGCUCCUCUGACGUUAGCGGCGGACGGGUGAGUAACACGUGGAUAACCUACCUAUCAGACUGGGAUAACUUCGGGAAACCGGAGCUAAUACCGGAUAAUAUAUUGAACCGCAUGGUUCAAUAGUUAAAUACGGUUUUGCUGUCACUUAUAGAUUGAUCCACGCCGCAUUAGUUGGUUGGUAAGGUAACGGCUUACCAAGGCAACGAUGCGUAGCCGACCUGAGAGGGUGGUCGGAAACACGGGAAGAGAGACACGGUACAGACUCCUACGGGAGGACGCAGUAGGGAAUCUUACGCAAGGGGCGAAAGCCUGACGGAGCAAAGCCGCGGGAGUGAUGAAGGUCUUAGGAUCGUAAAACUCUGUUAUUAGGGAAGAACAAAUGUGUAAGUAACUAUGAACGUCUUGACGGUACCUAAUCAGAAAGCCACGGCUAACUACGUG